AGUGAACGCUGGCGGUAGGCCUAACACAUGCAAGUCGAACGGCAGCACAGUAAGAGCUUGCUCUUACGGGUGGCGAGUGGCGGACGGGCGAGGAAUACAUCGGAAUCUACUUUUUCGUGGGGGAUAACGUAGGGAAACUUACGCUAAUACCGCAUACGACCUACGGGUGAAAGCAGGGGAUCUUCUGACUUUGCGCGAUUGAAUGAGCCGAUGUCGGAUUAGCUAGUUGGCGGGGUAAAGGCCCACCAAGGCGACGAUCCGUAGCUGGUCUGAGAGGAUGAUCAGCCACACUGGAACUGAGACACGGUCCAGACUCCUACGGGAGGCAGCAGUGGGGAAUAUUGGACAAUGGGCGCAAGCCUGAUCCAGCCAUACCGCGUGGGUGAAGAAGGCCUUCGGGUUGUAAAGCCCUUUUGUUGGGAAAGAAAAGCAGCAGGUUAAUACCCCGCUGUUCUGACGGUACCCAAAGAAUAAGCACCGGCUAACUUCGUG
rnacentral:rRNA from 1 species